rnacentral:rRNA from 1 species
UACGUAGGGGCUAGCGUUGUCCGGAAUCAUUGGGCGUAAAGAGCGUGUAGGCGGUCCGGUAAGUCCGCUGUGAAAGUCGGGGGCUCAACCCUCGAAUGCCGGUGGAUACUGUCGGGCUAGAGUGCGGAAGAGGCGAGUGGAAUUCCUGGUGUAGCGGUGAAAUGCGCAGAUAUCAGGAGGAACACCGAUGGCGAAGGCAGGUCUCUGGGCCACUACUGACGCUGGAGAAGCGAAAGCAUGGGGAGCGAACAGG